rnacentral:rRNA from 1 species
UACGAGUGCCUCAAGCGUUAUCCGGAAUCAUUGGGCGUAAAGGUUGUGUAGGUGGUUAUAUUAGUCUUCUGUUAAAUUCUUCGGCUUAACCGGGGGCAUGCAGAGGAAACGGUAUAACUUGAGGAUGCGAGAGGUCUGCGGAACUCAUAGUGUAGCGGUGAAAUGCGUUGAUAUUAUGGGGAACACCAAAAGCGAAGGCAGCAGACUGGAGCACUCCUGACACUGAAACAAGAAAGCGUGGGUCGCGAAUGGG